UAAAAAUGUAUUUUAUUAUUUAUUUAUUUGAUUUUUUUUUACUUUUUUGCAUGCUUUAGUUAUUAGUUAGAAUUUAGAUUCAUCCUUUUUUAAAGUUAAUUUGUGUGCGACACUGUUAAGUGCCUAUAUAUAUCCUCACCUGUCUACAGUCAGACGCUAUAAAAACUGUUCACAAUUGCAUCAGCCAAUAGAAAACGCCGUAACCAGGGCUACAUUUUCAGGAGGGCGGCAUCUACCUACUUAAUGUCAGGAAAUCCACAGAGAACCUGAUGAUGCUCCAUGGAGAUGAAGCUUGAAUGAUAAAGACAUGUAUUACAGAAUCCUUUGCGUUCAAGUUGGAGCCAAGAAAAAUGGCACAUUACCCAAACAAAAUGGCUGCUUGUAGCACAGGAACCCUGGGAAGAUCUAUAAAAGGGUGCAUGUUUACAAUAGGCCCCUAUAUUUCUGGCUGUCGCCUUUCCGAUGCCUUUAUUAAUUACUGUGAGAUUAACCGUUGCCUGUAAACCCCUCUCAAUCAAUCAAACCGGGCCCCAAUUCCCAAGGGAUUGAAAGUCACUGGAUUACCAGACUGCACAUGAAUAUUUGUGAAUAAGAAUGCUCACAAAGAUCCCUGCUGAAGAAGCUCUUCUUGACACAACAACAGUAGCAAUCCAUGUGUGAAUUCACCCUGGACUAGCAUGAACAAUUCAGGCCCUAUUCACUCCAGACAUGUAUCAACUGAGUAGUUCCUCCAAAUGCUUUGUUGCUAGGCUGCUGUUUACACUGACCCAAACCAAACAUCCUCAUGUGUUACCGACUGUCUUCAAUGACAGCUGUCAGCUUGUGGUGUGUAGUUAGGAAUGGUUUUAUUUAUUAUUAUUAUUACAUUAAACAUAUUUGAAGAUAUAGUUCACCCAAAAAUGAAUAUUCUGAUGUUAUUUUUUGACCCUCAUAUCGUCUCAACUUGUGUGACUUUCUUUUGAAGGAUGUUUCAACUGCUUUUGUCCAUAGAAAUACAUUUUUUUUUUUUUUUUUUAUCAUGAGAACUCUCUAAAGAGUUUAGCAAUGGAAACGAGAAAAAUGUUAACUUAGACAUCCCUAAAAACAUUUAUUUUUUAUUGAAUGCAUAAUUACAUAUAAAUCAGACAGAUUCUCCCUAAAUCUUCUUUUUUUCCCUCCUUAAAAUGCCUACAACAUACUAUUUUUUUUUGUAUACAUUGAGAAAGUCUUCCAGUUUUGGAAUUGCACAUACCGACCUCUAGUCAGGUGACCACUGGAUUUACAGAAAUCAUUUCACUUUGAAGGAGACAAAUUUGUAUGACUGUAAAUUUUACAUACAUAUACUGUAUUUGUGCAUUUGCAACUUUUAAUAUGCUAGCAUAUAGAUAAUGUCAGCGCUAACAAGCAUACAUUCAAAGACACAAUUUAAUAAUUUUUUAAUUCUAAAAAGAUUGUUAUAUAUUAGUGUAAGGCAACCAGCCACAGCUUUCUGUGACAUUUCGGGAGUAAAAUAGUUGGUAGCACAUUAAUGAAAGUGGUAGCUCAUUUCAAAAAUUGUACAGCAGGGAUGGGCAACUUCAGUCCUGGAGGGCCACUGCCCAGCAGAGUUUAGCUCCAACCCUAAUCAAACAAACCUGAACCAGCU